UUGAUCAACACUGUAUCAAGUGCGGAGUUGAAUCUGCGUUUGUGCAGGGAAAAGCAAGUGCUAAGGACUCAGUUUUCUUGGGGGUUCCUCUCUCUGAUCAAUUCAAGUCUAGCUUCAGUCCUUUGGUGUUCAGGAGCAAGGAUCUGGUUGAUAUACAGAGGAGUAAUAUUUUGGGAAAAGUCAUGUCCACUUGAGAUCCGGUGUAGCUUCAUAUUAUCCAAGUUUUUGGUUGUGGCGUUUUGCUGAGAGGCGUUACAGGAAAAGCC